rnacentral:rRNA from 1 species
CAGUCGAGCGAAUGGAUUAAGAGCUUGCUCUUAUGAAGUUAGCGGCGGACGGGUGAGUAACACGUGGGUAACCUACCCAUAAGACUGGGAUAACUCCGGGAAACCGGGGCUAAUACCGGAUAAUAUUUUGAACUGCAUAGUUCGAAAUUGAAAGGCGGCUUCGGCUGUCACUUAUGGAUGGACCCGCGUCGCAUUAGCUAGUUGGUGAGGUAACGGCUCACCAAGGCGACGAUGCGUAGCCGACCUGAGAGGGUGAUCGGCCACACUGGGACUGAGACACGGCCCAGACUCCUACGGGAGGCAGCAGUAGGGAAUCUUCCGCAAUGGACGAAAGUCUGACGGAGCAACGCCGCGUGAGUGAUGAAGGCUUUCGGGUCGUAAAACUCUGUUGUUAGGGAAGAACAAGUGCUAGUUGAAUAAGCUGGCACCUUGACGGUACCUAACCAGAAAGCCACGGCUAACUACGUGCCAGCAGCCGCGGUAAUACGUAGGUGGCAAGCGUUAUCCGGAAUUAUUGGGCGUAAAGCGCGCGCAGGUGGUUUCUUAAGUCUGAUGUGAAAGCCCACGGCUCAACCGUGGAGGGUCAUUGGAAACUGGGAGACUUGAGUGC